CAGGGAGACAACAAAAUGUUUAAUAUUAUUAUUUUGUCACCUUAGGUCGAUCGGUAUCUCACGUUCUUAAUUUAUUAAGAAUUUCAUUUCCUAAGUUUUUCUAGGUCACACCCAUUAUUUUCCUGGGCCAUUAGCUCAGGUGGUUAGAGCGCACCCCUGAUAAGGGUGAGGUCCCUGGUUCAAGUCCAGGAUGGCCCAUAUCUCUAUGUUGGGGGUAUAGCUCAGUUGGUAGAGCGCCUGCUUUGCAAGCAGGAUGUCAGCGGUUCGAGUCCGCUUACCUCCACUGAUCACCACCUCUUCCAUAAUCGAUAGAAAGGAAAUGUUUUGAGUUGUGAUCUAAUUCUGAACGAAUCUAGCUUCCUAAUGAAAUUAUUAAGAUGCUGGACUCAUUGAAUUAAUUUCAUUGUUUUCAGAGAACCUUGACAACUGCAUAGAUUAUUUUUUAAAGACAAUAAGCAUCUUUAAUGAUGCAGAUUUAUUAUUUGUGCGAAUGCAUUAAUAACAAUUCUAUUAAGCUGAUGCUUCAAUUUUGAAGUUAUU
rnacentral:tRNA from 1 species